rnacentral:pre_miRNA from 1 species
GUAGCAGAAGAUCCUCGGCAGUUAACUGCAGCCAGAUUUCUAAAACUUCGACAGUUAACUGCCGAAGGACAU